CAUAUUUUGUCCAAAGAAACCUACAGGAGAGAUCAGAGUUAGAGAUACUCAGUGGUCAGUCUUCCCAGAGUCAUCAAACAGACCUGGCCUCCAUAUUCAGUUUGCUUGAAGAGAAUAUUAUGACAUUUGUGAAGAACGAGCUGAAGAUGUUCAAGAGGAUUCUUAGUCCAGAACU